GUGGAUUAGAUACCCUGGUAGUCCACGCCGUAAACGAUGAUCACUCGUUGUUGGCGAUACACCGUCAGCGACUGAGCGAAAGCAAUAAGUGAUCCACCUGGGGAGUACGGCGGCAACGCUGAAACUCAAAGGAAUUGACGGGGGCCCGCACAAGCGGAGGAACAUGUGGUUUAAUUCGAUGAUACGCGAGGAACCUUACCUGGGCUUGAAAGGGGAUUGACCUCCCGGGAAACCGGGAUUCUCUUCGGAGCAAUCUCCUAGGUGCUGCAC
rnacentral:rRNA from 1 species